CCGACGGCGGGUUCCGCCCCUCGCACCGGGGAGGCUGGAGAGGAAGGGCCCACGGAGCUACCACCGCCCUUCGCGCCGUCUUCGCUGACAUCAUGCUCCAGUUCCUGGUUGGAUUUACUUUUGGCAACCUGGUUGGAAUGUAUCUGGCUCAAAAUUAUGACAUGCCAAACCUGGCUAAAAAACUUGAAGAAAUUAAAAAGGACAUGGAUGCCAAGAAGAAACCCCCUAAUCCAUGAGGCCAACUCCAGCACUGGCUCCAGGAAAUCCUGACUCUCCUCUUCUCCAGGGCCUCCUUUACACCUGAACCAAAGCUUCUGUCUUCUGUCCAGUCUCAGCCUUUGCUUCGAGCACAAAUGGGGCCACAAGUUAAGCACUGUGCUUACUUUCCCAAUAUCCUCACCGCUUCCCUUCCUCCUAGCAGCUUGGGAGGGCCUCAAACUGGAAUUAUGGUGCUAGAUUAGUAAACAUGACCUUUAAUUAGUAGUUUCUCCCUUAUUCUUUGGGAUUUUUUACUGCCUUUUUCAAAAGAAAAAUCAAUGAGUUUUGUAUAGCUGAUCAGAUAUAAAUAAUGCUGACUUCACAGGUUAGCAAUUAUAAUGGGUGUUUAAACAUUUGGUACUACAUUAUGUUACUUCAAGGUCACUAAAAUUAAAAUCUAGAAGCCAGUUUCUGGUGAAUUAUCCAUUUAUUUUAUACUGUUCUCAGUAUAACUGACAUAUAUAACUCCAUAGUUGCUAAUUUAACCAAUAAAUCAAUUUGCUACUCAUCAACUGAGAAACUAUAUUCUGAGAACUCCAUCAGGAAUUGGGGAAUUAAAAAAUAAUGGCCUUUGUCCUCAGUAGACUUCAUAGUUCAGUAUGCAUGUUUUUCCUUAAUGAUGCAUUUGAUCUGGUUCUUUUUCCUCAAAAGAAUCAUACUUAUCUUAAGGGAUUAUAGGUGCAUUUGACAUUACAUGAUGGAUAAAUGAUAAGUUGUCUAUAAAGGAAAUUUUAUGCCUUUUCACAUGAAAAGAAAUGUAUCAACAUUAUAACUUUAUAGUGAUUCUCACAAGAAAACUUUUUUUGCUGCACUCAGAAAUUAUCAUUGUAAUUUGUCAAAUGUAUAAUUAGUUCAUUUGAAAAAAUUAAACAAAAUGUUUGACUACAUCACUUUUCCCGUGAGUCAAGAUACAAGAGUGAUUUAGAAUGAAGGGCCUCUCCCACCUCUAGCUCCUAGAUCCUCUUCCUGGAGCCAGGCACUGCCAGCAGUUUACUGUAUGCUAUUGAACAAGAUUCUGUGCCUAACCAUGUGUGCAUGGGCUUUUUACACAAAUGAUAAACUAUACAUAGGCUUUGCUCUGUCCUUUUUUCCUCCCAUUUAAUAUCAGUAUGUAAGGAAUAAGGAAUCUGUUUCCUUUUUUGGCUGCAUAAAAUUCUAUUGGAUGAAUAUACCAUAAUUUAUUUAAUCUAUCAUUGAUGAAUAGUUGUUUCCUAUCUUUUGCUGUUACAGUGAUAACUUGGAACCUGAUGUUACCAUACGUAUUUAUGCAGGGUAUAGCCAUAAGUUAACGUCCUAAAACUGUAAUUUGCACUAAAUAUAGGUAAAGUCCCACUUCAUCGUUUUGCUUUAGAGGGCUUGUUGGGCAGCUUCACUGAUAAUGCCACGUCUGAGGACAUUAUAGCAGAAUCAGUAAACUGCAAGAUUACUUAGAGACACCUUUUUUCAGACAGCGAUGACACUGAUACUACAUGUGAUUAUAAAAUGAAGUGAUUCUGCUUCUCUUUGAGAACAUGCAUCUCUCAUACAUGGAGAUAAGUUUUAUCCAUCAGUUCAUCCUGGUGUGUGAGACAGAUUAGGAUCAUAUGGUUUGGCUUCUCCCUUGCAGUGUGAUCAUGGGCAAACAGCUUAUUUGUCUGAAACUGUUGUAUUCUCUGUAAGAUCUGGACAUAAUACCUACCUCAUAGGGCUUCCAUGAGAAACAAUUGCAAUAAUGUAUGUGAUGCACAGUGCUUUGCAAAUUUGCCCAAUAAAUAGCAGACCUUAGUCCAAACAU